UAAAAAGAUGAGGCUCUGCCUUUUAUUUUAAAAACUACAUAGUUUCAAAUCGUAGAUAAUGUUUUAACGAGAAGCUGUAGCAUUUUGAAAUACAUAUUUUUAAUUUCACAAUCAUUUGCUUUAUAAUAACUGAUUAUUUUUAACUUAAGGACUUUAUAAAGGCGUAUCGUAAUUUUCGUUUUUAAAUUGUAAGUUGUAAUCAUCUGUCAGUGUCACUUUGUGUCAAAUGCGAAAGAAGGGAAUCAAAUUUUCGCCGCUGUCAAACCAAAAAACGAGUGCUUAAGCUACUAAUACUAGUACAAAUAGUAUUUUAUUAUACCAAUUUUACUUUUUAGUAUGUCAUGCAGUUACGCAGAUGGUUUGUCACGCUACGAAGAUAAAGGAAUAUGCGGACUACCUGAGGUACAUGAUCCAGAAGAAAAGAUUACAUUGAAAGCCAUACAACUUGCCCAGUGGAUCCAAGAGUCUGAACAUGUGGUAGUGCACACUGGAGCUGGAAUUAGCACAUCGGCAGGAAUCCCAGACUUCAGAGGACCAAAGGGUGUCUGGACUUUAGAACAGAAAGGAGAGAAACCUCAGAUCAACAUUUCCUUCAGUUCUGCCAUUCCAACAAAAACACACAUGGCUUUAGUUGAAUUUAUGAAGUUAGGAUUAAUUCAUUUUGUUGUGAGCCAAAAUGUAGAUGGCUUACAUUUGCGCUCAGGUCUUCCUCAAGACAAAUUCUGUGAACUUCAUGGUAACAUGUUUCUUGAUAAAUGUAAACAGUGUCAAAGACUGUUCAUAAGAAGUCAGGCUUCUGUGAGUGUGGGUCAAAAAUGUACAGACCAACCAUGCCCUCUGAGGAAAACAAAUGGACGAGUAUGUAGGGGGAAACUUUAUGACACAAUUCUGGAUUGGGAGGAUGAACUACCUGAGGAAGACUUGGAACUAGCUGAUGUUCAUUCCAGGGUGGCUGAUCUUAGCAUUUGUCUUGGAACAACACUUCAGAUAGUUCCCAGUGGAAGUUUACCACUCCUCACCAAAAAAAAUGGUGGACGCAUGGUGAUUUGUAAUCUGCAACCCACAAAAUGUUCUGCUGUUGUCUUCACGGAAGUCCCGAGAGGACAAUUUCUGUGGUGAUAGUGGCCAUCAUUCAAUCCUGGGUCUUCUUGACAGAGAGGCUACUAGUGCUUUUGACUCUUUAACAAGAAGACCUAGCUACUACCACCUGACUAACAGUUAUUCUCCAAAAUGAUCAUUUUGCUGACCUUAUCAUCCAUGACUAUGUUGAUAACUUCAUUGAAAAGCUUGCCAUGCAUUUAGGUGUGUCAAUUCCUCCUUAUUGUCCUGAACAGGAUCCCACACUUAAGACCAAGUCUUCUGUCAUGGAGU
rnacentral:misc_RNA from 1 species